rnacentral:rRNA from 1 species
CCCCAGACUCCUACGGGAGGCAGCAGUGGGGAAUAUUGCACAAUGGGGGAAACCCUGAUGCAGCGACGCCGCGUGAGUGAAGAAGUAUUUCGGUAUGUAAAGCUCUAUCAGCAGGGAAGAAAAUGACGGUACCUGACUAAGAAGCCCCGGCUAACUACGUGCCAGCAGCCGCGGUAAUACGUAGGGGGCAAGCGUUAUCCGGAUUUACUGGGUGUAAAGGGAGCGUAGACGGCAUGGCAAGUCAGAUGUGAAAGCCCGGGGCUCAACCCCGGGACUGCAUUUGAAACUGUCAGGCUGGAGUGCAGGAGAGGUAAGUGGAAUUCCUAGUGUAGCGGUGAAAUGCGUAGAUAUUAGGAGGAACACCAGUGGCGAAGGCGGCUUACUGGACUGUAACUGACGUUGAGGCUCGAAAGCGUGGGGAGCAAACAGGAUUAGAUACCCCGGUAU